rnacentral:misc_RNA from 1 species
CUUUUUUCUUUGCUUCCUCAUCAGCAGUCGCAAGAAGUCCAAACCUCUCUGCCCUAGCCUUCCUCUUCAGCUCCUCUGAGGUCUUUACUGCAACCCCAGUGCCAAACCUUUCAGCCCGAGAAUUGCGUUUUUCUUGCUCAGACAACUGAACAGUAAUUCCAAAGCGCUCGGCGCGGCGGAUCUUCUUCUCGGUGUCAGAUACUGCAGCGGUAUCCCCCGAACGCGAGACCGCGGUGCCCUUGCUGCUCUUCGAAUCCUCGCCGUCGUUCUUAAUAGUGUCCGUACCUAAACUAGCGAAGGAUUGGGAAUUGAUGGUGGAAUCCUCUACUCGAUCUGGCACGGCGGGGCCAGCGACUGUCUCGCCUAGGGUUUUGCUAGGGUUGUCUUGGAGAGCAGUAGCGGUUGUGGUGAGAUUCUCCGUAUCAGUUGCCAUAUCGAGAGAGAAUGGGAUAACGGAGAGUGCGAGAGAGGGUUGUUUG